GACGAACGCUGGCGGCGUGCUUAACACAUGCAAGUCGAGCGGUAAGGCCCGUUUCGGGGGUACACGAGCGGCGAACGGGUGAGUAACACGUGGGUGACCUGCCCUCAGCUCUGGGAUAAGCCUGGGAAACCGGGUCUAAUACCGGAUAUGACUCCAUGACGCAUGUUGUGGGGUGGAAAGCCUUGUGCGGCUGAGGAUGGGCCCCGCGGCCUAUCAGCUUGUUGGUGGGGUGAGGCCUACCAAGGCGACGACGGGUAGCCGGCCUGAGAGGGCGACCGGCCACACUGGGACUGAGACACGGCCCAGACUCCUACGGGAGGCAGCAGUGGGGAAUCUUGCGCAGUGGGCGAAAGCCUGACGCAGCGACGCCGCGUGAGGGAUGACGGCCUCGG
rnacentral:rRNA from 1 species